rnacentral:lncRNA from 10 species
UCAACAGGCAGGCACACCUGUCUUCCAGGCUCAGGGAGCGGCCUCCUGAUAUCCAUUUAGCACGUGGUAAAGGCUCUUCCAGGGCAGCUUACAAGCUUUGAGGCCGGCGUUUCCCACCAUGGUGCCUGUCUUCACAGUCCUCCGGGAUGGCGCCGUGACUGCAUUCCUGUCUGGCGGGAAGAGGCGGUUCUGACCCCCCCUGGCCUUUCCU